UACGUAGGGCGCGAGCGUUGUCCGGAUUUAUUGGGCGUAAAGAGCUCGUAGGCGGCUUGUCGCGUCGUCCGUGAAAACCAGGGGCUCAACCCCUGGCUUGCGGUCGAUACGGGCAGGCUAGAGUUCGGUAGGGGAAACUGGAAUUCCUGGUGUAGCGGUGAAAUGCGCAGAUAUCAGGAGGAACACCGGUGGCGAAGGCGGGUCUCUGGGCCGAUACUGACGCUGAGGAGCGAAAGCGUGGGGAGCGAACAGG
rnacentral:rRNA from 1 species